AAUCAAGUAAGCUAAUACAAGCUUCUGGGUUCAUACCCCAGCGAUGGUCUAUACCCUUGAUUA
rnacentral:tRNA from 1 species